rnacentral:tRNA from 2 species
GCCGAUGUAGCUCAGUUGGUAGAGCAACUGAUUCGUAAUCAGUAGGUCGUCCGUUCGAUUCGGAUCAUCGGCACGA